AAGAUAAUAUUAGUUACACAGUGUGCAAUUGUCCUAAUACGAGAAUUUAUCGGGUCAAUAAAAUUCAUAUUGGGUGAGGCGAAGCCAAACCCGAUAUGAAUUUUAUUGACCCGAUAAAUUUCGUAUUAGGACAAUUGAACACUGUGUAACGAAUUUAUCCUGAUUUUGUUAUUUUACAUAUUAUUAUAUUUAAAUUCAAUUUUAGGACAAUAUCAACC
rnacentral:lncRNA from 1 species